AGAUCAUGGCUUACUGCAGCCUCGACCUCCAGAGCUCAAGGGAUUCUCCUGCCUCUGUCUCCUGAGUAGCUGGUCUACAGAGACUGGGUCUCGCUCUGUCGCUCAGGAUGGUGUCGAACUCCUGGGUUCCAGCAAUUCUCUCACCUCAGCCUCUGAAAGUGCUGGGAUUACAGGGGUGAGCCACUGUACCCGGUCCCACCGUGCCCUUUUGCAGUCAACCUCUCCUGUCCCAAUAUUUCACCGUCCCUAUAGUUUUUUUUCUCCUAGAACAUUAUAGAAAUAGAGUCA
rnacentral:lncRNA from 1 species